CUACAUGGGAGGCUGAGGCAGGAGAAUCACUCGAACCUGGGAAGCGGAGGUUGCAGUGAGCCGAGAUCGCGCUACUGCACUCCAGCAGCCUGAUGGAGACUAGGGAGGCAGGCACCAAAUUUGGCAAUCAAUGCCCAUAAAAUAUUCAGUGCAAACAUCAAGAGACAGAAAAUGGGAUUGGUAACAUGGAUACUGAGGAAACCAACUCAGAAAGGUUAAGUAAGUAACUUAAGUUCACACAGCAUAAAAUGCAAGUGGCAGAGUCAAGAGGCAAACCCAGGACUGUCUGAUUACGAAGCCUGGUCUCACCAUUUUAUGUCACUUCCUUCCAGUCAGAGCCGACCAGUCUCCAGGAAUUUGACUGCUGACUGCAUUUAUCCACUUUGGGAAAUCUCUAGUAAUAAAAGGGAGACACGCUGAGUAAUAAGUGUGAAGUUUAGAACACAAACCUUGCAAGAGCUUUCAAGAAUAAAUAAAAUUCCAACAUGGAUAGUCUGGGAGGUCACUCUCCCCAGGCUCUGUGGAAGUGGUGUUGGGGAGCAUAGACGUUUGGUCCAUGACGUACAGUACAGCCCCUUUCCACAAUGCUGGAGAUGAAGCUGGGUCUCCUGUCUGCGCCUGCAUAUUCCUAUAGCUUCCCUGAGUCCUGUGGAUGAUGACUGGUGAGACAAAUCGUGCAGGAAACAAGUUUAGUUUGAAAAAAAAAAAAACAACAACAAAAAAACCCAACAUAUUUGGAAUGUGAUAGACAACAAGUGAAUAGACAAUCUCACUUAGAAAUUGUAUUUAAUAGAGUUAAUAAAUUCAGUUGCCUUUUGCUGGGGAGUAUUGAACAAUUUCAUCUCCCCCAAAAGACUCUGGAGUCAAAGGUGGUGUUUAGACUCCGUUACCCGGAGCACUGGUCUCUCAUCUGUGUCAGGUACUUGACACAGAGGUAUUUUACAGAGGAGGGGUGCUAAGUCACGAGAAGGAUGAACAGGAAGAGAAGAGUGAUGACAGGCUGGAGGUUAAGAACAGAGAUUCCGAAGUUUCACAGUAUGAGUAGGAACUCACUGACUAGCUGUAUGCUUUGCUAAUGCUUCAUCCUCUCCAACAUUAAGCUUCAUCGUCUGUAAAAGGAAUCCCGUAAUGUCUAUGUCUCAGGGAUCCUGUGAGGGUGAGGUUAGGCAUCGCACAUGAAGGGCUUAGCUUAGCAAGUACUAGUUGCUUGUUAAUCUUUAUUACAAUGGCAGUUGAGCAUAUACUUUACCUAUGGAGCACAUUUUACCUCUGAGCACCCUAGAGGAAGGAGAGUUUGGCAGUUUAGCAAGGGGGUCAGGGGAUGUAGGAGGAUGGCUACACAACGUGCACUAAACUCACAAUUAGGGAGCACAAUCAUGCUUUGUUCCGAAAUGGCAAGUUUUUUGACAAUGUGUCUUUAUAUCCAUUGCUGGGUUUUUUUUGUUGUUUGUUUGUUUUGUUUUGUUUUGUUUUUAAGAUGGACUGUCUCUCUGUUGCCUAGGCUGGAGUGUAGUGGCGCGAUCUUGGCUCACUGCAACCUCCGCCUCCCGCGUUGAAGCAAUUCUCCUGCCUCAGUCUCCUGUGUAGCUGGGAUUACAGGUGCCUGCCACCAUGCCCAGCUA
rnacentral:lncRNA from 1 species